ensembl:snoRNA
AUCCUUUUGUAGUUCAUGAGCACGAUGAUUGGGUGUUCACGCAUCUGUGGGAAACGUGCCUCCCUCAAACCUUGCUCUGACAUCAGCACAUCACCUGUAUGACG